GUGAAUUUUGGAGAUUUUGGGGUUUAAACUCGGUUUUAACAAAGCCUCACCUGGUCCGAGAUCACCUGAGAAGAUUUGAGACGACGCCCCCCGCUGGACCGAAGCUCCCGAUUGGCUCCCGGGCGGAUCCGGCGGCUCCUGAUUGGCUGCGGCCCCGGAAGGGGCGGGGCUUGGACCGGAAGAAGGG